AUGAAAUUCUAUCAGUUCUUGAAGGCACCUAAAUAUCAAAGCAAACAAAAGGAUCAGGAGGCUUUGAGAAUGCUUCCUGCCAAUGAUAAAGACACAGAACCUCCAACAUACCCUUCCCUCCACAGUACGGCUCUGCAGACAGCUGGGAAUACAGGAUGUAUUUUUGUAGUGAUUGUCCAGCCAUGGCCACAGCCACACUGCAUUAAAAGGGAUGCAAUUCCAUCUGACUACAGUCAAGCCAUGCUCCUAGGCAAUGCCAGCAGGUAGGCUGUAAGGACGGGCUGGUAAGGAGAGCAAAGGAACUGCUGCUGCUGGUAUAUGCUUCCAAAGAAAGCAUUUUCCCCAAAUAUGUGUUUAAAAUGCUUUGUAAAUAUAAACCACGGCUUUAUGUCUCACCUCUAAUUCUAACUUCCAGUCUAAACUAGGAAAACUGAUUAUCCUUGUGGGUCCCUUCUGACUCAGGAUAUUUUACGAUUCUGUGUUGCGGUCAGACAUCCGAGCAGUCUAGUUUGGCAACAGGAGGGCUGGUAUCCUCUCCUGCCUUCUUCCUCUGUCCCUCGCUUGCUCUCCAGCUGCUGAGCCUGUGCUGUUUGGCAGAAACUCCAGCAGGUGGGCAGAGUGAACUACUGGAGGAAAAAGUGGCAGCAUAUUUUGAAAUGCCUUGAGUGGAUGAGACAGACCUCAUUUCAUCAUCCUGCCAGGACACUCAGUGCAUUCUCCUGAUCUUACUUCAUGCAAAACUGAACAAAUUGCACGACAGAGUGUCAGCUGAAACAAACCGUGUCAAUGACAUCUGCAUAAAACAACCCAAGAAAUCAAAGCAAUGCAUUUCUGUGGGGACAGCACGUAGAGCUUCAGCUGGAGCCAUUUCCCUGUGUCAGCAUUGUGCUCUGCUGACUGCACUGUGAACGCACAGGCUUCUGAGUUCACAAGCAGAGAGGCCUGAUCUUAUGGCUGUUGGCACCAAGUGCAGAAGUUGCGCAGCCUCAUAACCCAAACUUUUUCCCAAGUUUCUACCAAAGCAGUGGGCUUAAGACUAGUGCAGCUGUGCUUUCCUCACAGGAAGGAGGUGGAAGGAGGCUUUCCACACAGGAGGUGUCCUUGUGUGUGACAGGAAUGCAGCUGUCACAGUGAGAUGCUGUAACUCCACGUAUAAUUUUGGGUAGUAUCGGCUGAUGCAGUGUCCAUAUUUUCCAAAACUUAUCUUCCAUCUUUGCUUUGCAUUGCCAUCUCUCUUGUAAAGCACAAGCACUUGUGUGCUCACAAU
rnacentral:lncRNA from 1 species